UGAAAAAAUGAGUACAAUUUCUCAAACAAUUUUUUUUUAUUAGUUAGACGUAUAGACGUGUCCAGCCUUUUUAUAAACGAAAAACACUGACCUUUGAUAAAUUUUUUUCUUCAUUAAUUUCCUCGAAGGAAACAUUGGAAACUUCCUCGCAGUCAAGUGAAAUCCAAUUGUUUUCCACUUAACGAUCUUAGAUGUAUGAUAUACCUAAAGAAGCCCAAUUAUAGGUGUACAUUUUCCUUGUUUCUCUCUUUUGUCGUGUUCUGCAUUCUUUUAAAACCUGAAUAUAACAUUUGGAAUUAAAUAUCCUUAAUGAUUACUUUUAUUACAAAACUUAUUAUCUCUUAUUUCAUAUGAGAUAUCGUAUUCUGCACUAUCAAAACAACUAUUUCAGGUUCUUCUUUCUUCGUUGUCAAAGUUCGCGUCUAACACAUAUGUAAUGCAACGUCAAUCUGGAUUAUUAAAGAAAUGUAUCUUGUCGGCAACCGGGGUCGCUUUGUGGCUUUGUUUGCUACAACAUAAAACCACUCAACCAUAGUCUUUGUUCGAUUUUAAUUAAAAUUGCAAGGGUAGUGCUUAGAUUAUGAGCGAAGUGAAACGCAGAGAAAUGAGAGAUACAAAUCAAAAUAUCCAAGUCUUCGUCCGAAUUCGGCCUGUUAGCUCGCAAGAGAAAGCAGCCCGUUCACCCAUUGUGGUUGAAACUCAAGCUGGCAA